rnacentral:rRNA from 1 species
CUUGUACACACCGCCCGUCACACCAUGGGAGUGGGCUGCACCAGAAGUAGAUAGCUUAACCUUCGGGAGGGCGUUUACCACGGUGUGGUUCAUGACUGGGGUGAAGUCGUAACAAGGUAGCCCUAGGGGAACCUGGGGCUGGAUCACCUCCUUACUGA